rnacentral:rRNA from 1 species
CGCUAGCGGCAGGCUUAACACAUGCAAGUCGAGGGGUAUAGUUCUUCGGAAUCAGAGACCGGCGCACGGGUGCGUAACGCGUAUGCAAUCUACCUUUCACAGAGGGAUAGCCCAGAGAAAUUUGGAUUAAUACCUCAUAGUAUAGCAGUUUCGCAUGAAACCACUAUUAAAGUCACAACGGUGAAAGAUGAGCAUGCGUCCCAUUAGCUAGUUGGUAAGGUAACGGCUUACCAAGGCAACGAUGGGUAGGGGUCCUGAGAGGGAGAUCCCCCACACUGGUACUGAGACACGGACCAGACUCCUACGGGAGGCAGCAGUGAGGAAUAUUGGACAAUGGGCGCAAGCCUGAUCCAGCCAUGCCGCGUGCAGGAUGACGGUCCUAUGGAUUGUAAACUGCUUUUAUACAGGAAGAAACACUCCGACGUGUCGGAGCUUGACGGUACUGUAAGAAUAAGGAUCGGCUAACUCCGUG